rnacentral:rRNA from 1 species
GGCUCUUUGCUCACAUAAAUAUAAAGAGUCGAGCCUGCCCAGUGAAUUUUUAACGGCCGCGGUACUCUGACCGUGCAAAGGUAGCAUAAUCAUUUGCCUUAUAAUUGAAGGCUAGUAUGAAUGGUUUGACGAGAGCAAUACUGUCUCCUUUUUAUUUUCAAAAACUUAACUUUUAGGUGAAGAGGCCUAAAUUUUAUUGAAGGACAAGAAGACCCUGUCGAGCUUAAAAGACAUUAUAGGAGUCUAAUAUAUUUUUAAAUAAAUUUUCUAUUAGGCUUUUUAGUUGGGGCGACUAGGGAACAAAAAAAGCUUCUUUCUAAUAAAUAAACAAUCAUGUUUAGAUCCGAUAAUAGCGAUCAAAGAAAUUAGUUACCGCAGGGAUAACAGCAUAAUCUCUCUUAAGAGACCUAAUCGAAAGAGGGGGUUGUGACCUCGAUGUUGGACUAGAAUAUCCUAAAGAUGCAGAAGUCUUUAAGGGUCGGUCUGUUCGACCGUUAAAAUUCU